AAAGAUUUGCAUACUCAAAUCGGGUAAUCAAAAGUGAUGGCUCCUCAAUCCACUCAGAACAAUGAAAAUCAUUGGCGUCAACUAAUCGAAUCGAGUCGAUUAAUUCCCUCAUAGUGUGCUUUGAGACUGCACCUUCAGGUAAAUAUUUAUUCAAGAAAUUUUCAUCAGCUAAUUUUUUCCCAAUUUUUGUUCUUUCAUUAACCUCUAUCUCAAAAGCUCCAUUUUCAAAAAUGGGUAACUCUUCUUCUUCUCCCCUUCCUAUUACUUCUUCCAAUUUCUCUCCUCCUUUAGACAUCAAAAUUUUCUCCGGAUUCAUUCUUAUUACCCCUCCUUCACAAAUCGAACUCUGCAAUGUCUCACUGAAAAAACACCUAAACCACCCUCCUACUCCUCCUUCACCGAAAUAUCUGUUUUCACCGAAUUUCCGGUGA
rnacentral:misc_RNA from 1 species